UGAAACAUGAAGAGGAUGUGGAAGAUUGAAGCUAAGAUUUACCUUGAAUAAUGGCAGAAAAAUGCAUGGAGUUCUCCUACUUGCUCUUCUCGUGGAGUUAGUGAAGAAUGGUGAAGUAGUUGCUGCCUUGAAUCAUUAAAGAAGGAAGAUUGACAGCCUAAAAGCUAAAGAAAUUGGACAAGAUAUCGUGUAGUGGUGAAGUUAGGUGUAGUGGAAUUUGAAAGUGGAAGCAAAAGAAAGUGGACAGCCUAAAGCAAAAGAAAUUUGAUAAUAUAUGGGAGAUUUGAUUGUCUGCAUAAAGACAUGUAUGAAAAAAAAAUAAUCAUGAUAUAGGGUGGCUAUUAGGAACAUAGGGUAUGGUGUGAGAUGGGUGUUGUUGAACUAAUAAAAUAAAUCCCUCAGGAUAAAAAUAUCGGGACUGUAAAUAAAUACUUCAGGGUUCGCUAAAUAAAUAUUGAUCUCGUGAAAUACUUGAAUGCUAAUAUAAAUAAAUAUGCAAUGCAAUAUAAAUUAAUAACUAAAUUUACAAAUGUUUUUGAAAUCAUUUUGUUGGAAUUAAAAAUAAAUCAUUCAUUUUCUUUUCCGGCUAUCACUUAAUAUCUAAUUAAAAUAAAUUCUAAACUUAAUAGAAUGGGCGGGUAUUACAUCCCUCCCUCCUUAUAAAAAAUUCGUCCUCGAAAUUCAUAUUGGGCAUCUAGUUUGGAAUACUAGACUUCAUUCACUUAAGCUCUUAUGCGACAUCAAAUCAUAUAGGCCUUACUUUCUAACAGCGCAUCGUUCUUCAACCGAAAUUUCUUCAAAAUCUGGUACAUCAUUAUGCCGUGGAGUUCGUCUUCUCUUUUCUUGGAGAUUGGAGCGAGGUCUUUCUCUCGCUACAAGGUAUUGUAGCGCUGACUUGUGUAAAUCUAUCAAUUCUAGGAUGACGUCGAAUUCUAUCGUAGAAAUAACACGCAAAUCUAUCUAAAUGUUUGAGCGCCUAUAUCGAGCUUUAAGUUCGAGAUAACGUCUUUAACAUCCAGUAUCAAACAAAGCUAUAAUUGAUACGUCGAAAACAUUAAUCGUACCUGCAGGUUUCCCUGAUCUCCUGCUCUUGGUGCUGGUUAAGGGCAUAGCCCUAGCGUAGUGGUUGUCCCUGGUUCCUCAGGACUUGGUUCUGUCGCUGUGGUUCCCGGAUUUUGUUGUUGUGGCGCUCCCCCUCUUUUCUUUGGGCAUGCUGAAGCAAAAUGCCCUGUUUCUCCGCAGUAAUAACAAACAUUCGUUCCUUUCAUGCAUUCCCCUAAAUGGGGUUUCCGACACUUUGGGCAAGGUGGUGGAGUUAUCGCUUGCGACUGUUCGUUCUGAUGCUGAUUCGGAUUUUGAUUGCAACCCAUGGUUUCUUCCCACUUCCAUUUCCAGAGUUCCCCACAGUUUCCUCAUUCCAUCUCCUUUUUCCUUUACUAUUAUCUUGAGGUGGUACAAAUCCAGACUGUCCGGGAGCUUUUCCUUUCUCUCUUGGCAGCAGUGAUUCAAUGGUGAGGGCUCUGCUCAAUGUUUGCGCGUAGGUGAGACCUCCUUGACUUGCUAAAGAAAUCGCUAUCUCAUGACGCAAUCCAUUUCUAAAUUUUUCUGCACGCUUCUCAUCAGUGUCCACCAGCGUCGGAGCAUAUCUUGAUAGUUGAUUGAAGGCUCUAUCGUACUCAGUCACUGUCCACGCCCUCUGCUUCAGAUUCCAGAACUCAUUCUGCUUCUUCUGUCUAUAGCAUCCUGGUAUGUACUUCUCAUACAACACAGUCUUAAAAUCUUCCCAAGUGAAAUUUUCCCACUGUUCCUCAGUCAUUGUGCGUCUCACUGAUUCCCACCAGAAAUCGGCUUCGUCCACCAGUUGGUAGGUUGCACAAGUUACUUUGUCUUCGUCAUCGCAACGGAUGUAGUUAAAGAUACGCUCUAUAGCCCUAACCCAUUUUUCGGCGUCUGUUGGAUCGCCCAGCCCGUCAAACGUUGGAGGUUUUUCCUUGCGAAACUUCUCUUCAGCAGUACGAUUUGGUGCUACUUGUUGGAUUGGCUCUUCAUGGAAGAAUCCCCUGCCGCGUCCGCGACCACGACCACGUCCUCGUCCCCUACCGCGUCUUCUUGGUGCGUCUUCCAUUCUGGUUUACGGACGAUAUCAACACAUCAGUGAGACUUCUUCUGCAUACAUACAUUCAUAGAUAUAUACAAGAUAUAUCGCUUCUAUGGUGUAACCAUGUGAAAGACUAGUUCUAUGUAGAAACAAAUCUUAACUUAAGUGGAUCCUUGAUCUCAUGACAUUGCUUCUACGUUAUAACAUGUCUAUGUUAAACGUUUCUAUCUUACCAGUCCUUACUUAAAUCGAUCAAGCGGAGCUAUCACGACUAACAUUUCCAAGGCAUUCUUGGGUGGUACUCAAACAGUUGUAAGAGGACCUAUCAUUCUGAUCGUAUAGGCAGUAAACCUAAAACGAUAACAUAAACCUUCAUUCAUUCCUUCAUUCAUUGUUUCUUUUGAAACCUUUUAAAAACACUUGGACAAUAAAUGUCCCAUUCCUUAAAAACUUUGCUUUUGCCGGAAAGAUUCAAGGAAUCUAACUCGACCAUUCGUACAUUGAUUCGUUAAGGGCUCGGGUAGUCCCAAACACGAAAUAACAUUCAUUGAGUCGUUAUGGGUUCGGGUAGUCCCAAACACGAUACUAACUUGGUUAUAUGAGCCGAAGACUCAAAAUAACAAUAUGAAAGCGAUUAGCAAUUCAUAACUUAUAGCAUAUGGAAAGCGAUAAGCAAUUCACAUAGCAUCAUUCAUUGAAAGCGCGCACUUCUUGAAAACAUUCAAAACAUUUAAUAACUAUGAAACCUUUAAAUCGUACCUUUUUCUUGCGGCAGUGUGACGGCGAGCUGAGGUUCAACAACUUUCUUAGAAGUCUAGAGACACUAAUCUAGACUCAACAUUAGAAGCUUUUGGUUAUCAGAGACAUGAAAGAAAACUUAUGCUCUGAUACCAUUCUGUCACACCCCAAUUCUUGAACGAAUAAAAUAUAAUCGAGGUGCGACUAAAUCAUAGAAAUAAACAAGGAAAGAACCUUGUGGGAUUCAAAUAAUAGGAUAAAAAUCGGGGAUCACCCUUUGAGUGAAGAAAGACAAAAUCAGGUGAUACUAAUCAAUCAACAACAUUCUAAGCCUUAGGAUCAUAAGUUCAGUUUCAUGUUUCCGAUAACCAACGUUAAAUAACAUAGAGCUAGAAGUUGAGAGUUUAAGCUCGAUAAAACAUAAUUCAGAAUUUAACAUAAAAGUCUUAAGUUAGAGAAACAAAAGAAAAUAAAAGCUAGUGCAACAGCGGAAGACAAAAUACGGAGUUGAACCCUAGCCUCAGCUCUGCCCCGUCAGCACCGACCAAUUAACCUGAAAACAUUUGAAAGAAUUUUGGGCUAAGUACUAAUGUACUUAGUGGGCUACAUUUUUAUAAACAUUUCAUAAUCAUAAGAGCAGUUUAUCCAAUUAUUCAUGACAUAACUUAGAAGGUUUUAAAACAAAAAGAACUUCCAAGCAUGUUAAAGUAUUUCAUUUUAUUAGCGCGCCAUUGUCACACUCUGUUCUGUUACUCGCUGUGAUCCCGGACCUUUUAGCCACCGACGGAUCCCUCAUUCCCAUGACACUUGCCCUGAGGACGUAACUCAGACAAGUUGAAUUGACCUCGGGACGCUACCCAGGCAGGCCUUACAUGAUACAUGCUCCGGAACACAUCCAGCCAAGCACCCUUAUAACGCCUCUUACAUGAAUUAGUGCCCGAUGGAGAUCAACCCACCGAAACAACUAACAAGUGUACACAAUUCUCAAAUAACGUGUUAGGCCAUAAGAGAACCUCGAUCGAUCCAUGAAUUGCGAGCCUUAAACAUAACAGAGCGCACAAAAACAUUUAUUGGAUAAACAGUUUUCAUUUCAUGAAAUAUUUAGAGCUUAAUAACUCAAGCAUACAUUUGAAAAAUAAGCCCACCUGUAUAGGCAAAGCCUGUCGUUUAACCUUAUCUCUGAAUCGGAAUAGCAGUGCUAGUCCUCCUGAUGCUCAAAGCCUACAAGAAAUCUAUUCUUAAUAGGUCUCCUUGAAUUCUAAUCUUAAGUCAUGGUGAAGUGCUUAAUAUUCUAUGAUUCACUUAGCCGGGUUUUCAAAAUUUAAAUAAAUAAUUGAAAACAUUUCUCUUGAGUUAAGAACACCAACAAUAUUCUUACUCAUCUUUAAUUAAUAAUUGGAAUUAUAAAUAAAACCAAUUAAAUCAUAAAUAUUUUUAUUGCAAAAUAUAAUGCAAAUCAUAUCAUGCUUAGCAUAUAAUAAGUAAUUUACUUAAAAUAUGCACAUAAUAAUAAUAUAAUAUUAUUAUGAAAACUAGUCUUUGAAAAUAAUUAAUCAAACUAAUUAAUAGUUCAAUUAAUUAUAAUAGGGUAGCCCAAUUAAAUAAAUUAAUAAAGGCCCAAUAGAUUUAAUAAUUAAAAGCCCAGCUGAAACAAAAAUAAAUAAAAUCUCGGCCCAAAACUAAUUAAUACUCGGCCCAAACACUAACCCAAACCUAGCCCAAUACUCAAACCCGGCCCAAACACUAGCCCUAGCCCAACACCCAUCUCCUUUCUCCCUUUUCUUUCUCCCCUCUCAGCCGCUCACACACAUACGCAAACUGCAGAAUCACUCUCUCUCUCUCAAGGUUCCGUCUCUCUCUCUCUCUCACGGUUCACGCCACCACGGCUUCUCUCCCGGUGAGAAGCCGCCGGCUGGUCACCCCUCGCCUCCCCCAUCUCCCUCGACUAGCCUGGAUCCCCCCCUUCCCUCAUCUCUCGCUCCCUGCCACCUCGCCGUCACAGCCUCCUUCCGGUGACAACAGCCAAGGCCGCCGAGCUCUAGCCUCCAUCGUUUCUCUCUCAAAACUCUCGCUUGUUCACAGAUCCGACGGCAGUAGCAGCGGAAGCUAACCACCGCCGUCCGCCGACUCCGACUCCUCACCUCUCUGUCUCCGGCAGACGACGACAACGCCGCCCCUGUCUCCCUCCGCUCAGACCAGCUCCGACCAGCCACCGCCCCACACAGGUAAACCCCCAAAUCUCCCUUCUCUUCCUCUAAAAAAAAAGAAUCUGAAAAUCUAAUUCCUCUUCUCUCUCUCUCUCGUUUUGGCAUAACAGAGACUGGGCGGCAGUUGCCGCCGCGCCGCCGUUGCCGGCGCCCAGCAGCCACCUGCUGCUCCCUCUUUCCCCUCUCACGACUCGGACAGCGCACACACACAAAAAAGCAUAAGGAAACCCUCCCAAUUCAAUCCAGAUUCACAAAGUAAAGCAAAGCUAGGGUUUUAUUGUAAAAAUCUGUUCUUUCUCAUUCUUAUUUAUUCUCUAAAAAAAAUUCAAAUCUUGUACUUGUAAUAGUUAGAAAACGAAGUGAUGAUGAGUGUGUGUGUUCGUUGCUGCCUUCUUUCUUUCUCUUUUUGAUGCUUGAUUCAGAAUUUCAUAAGAUAAAUGGGGAGGAAUUGGGGUAACCUUGAUGUUGGUGGUAUUUGGUAUUUAGCUGGAAUCUGUGAAUUGUAAAUCAAGCAUAAGAACGUAUAGCUUGGAUCAGAAUGUUAGAAACUGGAAAAAAAUAAAUUAAUGGAGGUUUAACAAUUAAUCACCUUCCUGCUGAAUUCGACAACUUGGACUGCAGUGAAGGAAACUUGAAUUGUUGACUUGAAAAGAGCUUACUUAGAAAUAGGAUAAAUCGUGAGUGAAGAGUGAGGAAAUGGUGAAGUAGUUGCUGCCUUAAUCAUUAAAGGAGAAAGAUUGGCAGCUUAAAAGCUAAAGAAAUUGGACAAGAUAUCGUGUAGUGGUGAAGUUAGGUGUAGUGGAAUUUGAAAGUGGA
rnacentral:lncRNA from 1 species